rnacentral:rRNA from 1 species
CAGCCGCCGCGGUAAUACGGAGGGGGCUAGCGUUGUUCGGAAUUACUGGGCGUAAAGCGCACGUAGGCGGAUAUUUAAGUCAGGGGUGAAAUCCCGCAGCUCAACUGCGGAACUGCCUUUGAUACUGGGUAUCUUGAGUAUGGAAGAGGUAAGUGGAAUUGCGAGUGUAGAGGUGAAAUUCGUAGAUAUUCGGAAGAACACCAGUGGCGAAGGCGACUGACUGGACAAGUAUUGACGCUGAGGUGCGUAAGCGUGGGGAGCAAACAGGAUUAGAUACCCCAGUAGUCCCUGUCUCUUAUAC